AUACGGAGGAUCCGAGCGUUAUCCGGAUUUAUUGGGUUUAAAGGGUGCGCAGGCGGCCGUUUAAGUCAGCGGUUAAAUCGUGGGGCUCAACCCCAUUCUGCCGUUGAUACUGGGUGGCUUGAUUGCGGUCGAGGUUGGCGGAAUUCGUUGUGUAGCGGUGAAAUGCAUAGAUAUGACGAAGAACACCGAUUGCGUAGGCAGCUGACCAGAUCGCAAAUGACGCUCAUGCACGAAAGUGCGGGGAUCGAACAGGAUUAGAUACCCUGGUAGUCCGCACAGUAAACGAUGAAUACUUGUUUUCGGCGAUAUAAUGUCGGAGGCAAAGCGAAAGCGAUAAGUAUUCCACCUGGGGAGUACGCCGGCAACGGUGAAACUCAAAGGAAUUGACGGGG
rnacentral:rRNA from 1 species